rnacentral:lncRNA from 1 species
AAAUUAGAAUCCAAGGAAGUUAACAUGUCAUCACUUCAUUUUUUUGCGCCUGCGCAUAAAUCUGAGAAACAAACCACAUUUGUUCCGGACCUGGGAUGCCUUCCGGACCUGGGAUGCCUGCCUUCUGAUGGAGAUAAUCAAAGCAGCCUUAAUCUACGUCCAAGUCAUCGGAGCCCAGGGAUCAGUUGUUGUGGGGGUUAAGUGCCUUGUUCAAGGGCAGAACGGCAGAUUUAUCCACCUUGGGGUUCAAACAAGAAACCUUUUGGUUACUGUCCCAACGCUCUAACCGCUAGGCUACCUGCCACCCUAAUAGCAGUUAGCCUAACAAAUACUGUAGCCCUCUCGACUGCACUUAUUAAGCUUGUGGAUGGACAGAGAGGGUCUGGCAGCUGCCUUACGAAGGAGAGAGAGACACAUACACACACACUCACAGCUCCUAAUGAGAUGCACAGUGUCAAUGGCCCUCCCUUUCUGAAGAGGGAAGAAGAAAAGGACUCUUUCUCUCUUUCUCACCCCUCUUCCGCUUCGCUCUGUCUUCUAUUCCCUUAUCCCUCCCUCUCUCUCCAUCUCCUGCCCUACUCCCCAGCUAGCGAAGGCUUUUGUUCAGACGCCAGAUGAUAACCCAAAUGCCCCAGCGCAGCCGGCCCUUUCAGCCACAUUCACCAGUCUACCCUCAAGUCACAAGUCAUCACAACUGGGCAGCUGAAUGCAUCAUGUGACAACGGCAACCAUGGCAGGAUUUUGAUGAUGGCAGGGGUACUUGUAAUUGUUGUGGACGUUGCAAGACCGGACUGUUCCAUUAGUGAUGAAAAUAUAUACGAUUAGUUUGAUGGUUAGUGGGCCUGAGACACUUUUUUAAAGUAGAAGAUGUGUAGAGAGCAGCCUCUAAAAUACUUUUCUUUCACGGUUGAGAAAUUGAUGUAUGUCAACCUGUUCAGCACUAUGAGGACACAGAUGAACUGCGCUCAAGUUCUUAGCCUCUCUGGGAUAUGUGGGACGCUAGUUGUUAAUCCAGCCACAGUGUCUGAUUUCAAAAAGGCUUUUUUGCAAAAGCACACUAUGCGAUUAUGUUAGGUCAGCGCCUAGCCACAGAAAACCAUACAGCCAUUUUCCAAAGAAGGAGAGGUGUCACAAAAGACAGAAAUUAAAAUUAAUCACUAACCUUUGAUGAUCUUCACCGGAUGGCACUCCCAGGACUCCAUGUUAGACAAAUGUGUGUUUUGUUCGAUAAAGUUCAUCUUUAUGUCCAAAAACCUCAUUUGAAAUUGCCACAUUAUGUUCAGAAAUGCAUUGUCUUAAACAUACAUCCGGUGAAAGUGCAGAGAGCCACAUCAAAUUACAGAAAUACUCAUCAUAAACAUUGAUGAAAGAUACAAGUGUUUAACUCUUUAGGGAUAGGGGGCAGCAUUGGGAAGUUUGGAUGAAAAGAGUGCCCAGAGUAAACUGCCUGUUACUCAGGCCCAGAAGCUAGAAUAUGCAUAUAAUAGUUGUUUUUAUCAUAAAUCUUCAAUAAUAUUCCAACCGGACAAUUCCUUUGUCUUUAGAAAGGAAAGGAAACGGAGCUCGCGCUCACGGCAACACGCGAUAAACAAUUCAAGGCUUUCAGCCAGACCCCUGGUUCAAACAGCACUUAUUCGCUCCCCUUUCACAGUAGAAGCCUGAAACAACAUUCUAAAGACUGUUGACAUCUAGUGGAAGCCUUAGGAAGUGCAAUCUGGCCCCAUAGACACAGUAUAUUGGAUAGGCAAUCACUUAAAAAAAAUACAAACCUCAGAUUUUCCACUUCCUGGUUGGAUUUUUCUCAGGUUUCUGCCUGCCAUAUGAGUUCUGUUAUACUCACAGACAAUAUUUUAACAGCUUUAGAAAGUUUAGAGUGUUUUCUAUCCAAAUCUAUCUAUUAUAUGCAUAUUCUAGCUUCUGGGCCUGAGUAGCAGGCAGUUUACUCUGGGCACCUUAUUCAUCCAAGCUACUCAAUACUGCCCCAUGUUCCCAAAUUAGUUAGUUACUUUAAUAGCGCCCAAGCCCUCUGCAGGACAAGAAGAGAACUGCACGGUUGGUCUCAUUUUUAUCUCAUCCAACUCUUUAUGUACUGUACUUUAUGUAAGAUUAUAAACUGGGUGGUUCGAGCCCUGAAUGCUGAUUGUCUGAAAGCUGUGGUAUAUCAGACUGUAUACCUUUUCAUUGCUCUAAUUAUUUUGUCAACCGGUUUAUAAUAGCAAUAAGGUACCACGGGGUUUUUGACAUGUGGCCAUAUACCACACCCACUCGGGCCUUAUUGCUGAAAUAUAACCUGAUACAACAUGUUUUGUGAAUAAAUAACAUGUACAAAAAUAAACAAAUGUAGGUGGAGUCUGGUUAAGUUUGAGUCUCUCUGCGGCUGGUUUCUCUCUGAAGCUGCUCUAUAGGGAGCAGAGGAGGAAGGUCACGAC